ACAUAUUUUUUCCUUUUGUUUUACCAGGAUUCAAGAAAUGUCUGUAUUAGCUUCCCUUUCUCAAUUUCAAGUGUUUUCAUCGUCACUUUCAAGACCUUUAAACAGAUCUCUCCCCAUACUUACACACUUCUGACUCUUAAUCCUCUUCCAGCUCUGCCAAAGUUGCCAGCCUUAAAUCCUCUUUUGUCCUGUUGUUCCUAUAAAUUUUCACAUGCUUUUUACCUUGCUGCUCCUGGUGGAUAGAAUACUCUCCCUAAACUAGUCUGUGGAAACCACUAUUAUCUACUAUAAUGCAAAGAAUAAUAUACACCUUAUUUUAUAUAGAUAGACAAUGAACAGGUCUUGGUUAAAGCUAGGCUGUAGUGAGGAAUCAGUUUCACUAGCCCCACUAGGGCUUUGACAAAACUUAUCUACAGUAUUUAAAAUGCUGUACUAGGAUGAAAAGGGCAUUCUGAGUGCAAUUUUUCUGUAUUAAUAUCAUAUAUAACAUGUUUGUCUAGCAUCAAACAUCUGUUGCGGAGUUCAGAGGAUCUGAAGCCAAACUUAUUUGUCAGUGUUAACAUUUUCUUGUUUUGCUCAUGUUGUCAGAACUGGGAAAGAAAUCAUUCACUUGCACUGUGUCUUAUUUCCUGGCACCUGUUGAUGCUUUGUUCUGAGAACAUUCUUUGCAGGAACAUAAAGCAAAGAUGCAUGUGAAAGGAAGUUUCCAUGUUUGGUGUGGUGAAGGAGUUGGAGAGAUGAAAAGGGAAUGGACACACUCCUCUUCCAACUGCUGUUUCAUACUAAGAGAAUGAGGGAGAAUUAUUAACUCAGGACCAGACCAUAAUGUCCUUGUGGCAAAUAGCACCUUCUUCCGUGAACAAUCCCUACUGAAGUCAUCAGAGUAAGAUGAUCCUGAAGAUUGGAAUACUGAACUUCCCUUCAAACCUUUAGCAGCACCCGAACAGAUUUGUACAGUAAACAACUGCAUCAUCUCUGACUCUGAAAUGUGGGAUUCAGCAACAGAUUUAUUGUCAAAGUUUUCACGAAGAAGGCCGAUGGUGAUUGGGAGACUACAACAGUGAAUGCUGGAGAAAAGGAGGCUGGUUCAGA